rnacentral:rRNA from 1 species
UCCCUACGGGAGGCAGCAGUGAGGAAUAUUGGUCAAUGGGCUUACGCCUGAACCAGCCAAGUCGCGUGAGGGAAGACUGCCCUAUGGGUUGUAAACCUCUUUUGUCAGGGAGCAAUUGGCGCUACGUGUAGCGUUAUCGAGAGUACCUGAAGAAAAAGCAUCGGCUAACUCCGUGCCAGCAGCCGCGGUAAUACGUAGGGGGCAAGCGUUAUCCGGAUUUACUGGGUGUAAAGGGAGCGUAGGUGGCACGGUAAGCCAGAAGUGAAAACCCAGGGCUCAACUCUGCGGAUUGCUUUUGGAACUAU